AUUGAACGCUGGCGGCAUGCUUUACACAUGCAAGUCGAACGGUAACAGGCCGCAAGGUGCUGACGAGUGGCGAACGGGUGAGUAAUGCAUCGGAACGUGCCCAGUCGUGGGGGAUAACGCAGCGAAAGCUGCGCUAAUACCGCAUACGAUCUAUGGAUGAAAGCGGGGGACCGUAAGGCCUCGCGCGAUUGGAGCGGCCGAUGUCAGAUUAGGUAGUUGGUGGGGUAAAGGCUCACCAAGCCAACGAUCUGUAGCUGGUCUGAGAGGACGACCAGCCACACUGGGGCUGAGGCACAGCCCAGAAUCCUACAGGAGUCAGCAGUGGGGAAUUUUGGACAAUGGGAGCAAACCUGAUCCAGCAAUGCCGCGUGCAGGAAGAAGGCCUCCGGGUUGUCAACUGCUUUUGUACGGAACGAAACGGUCCUGGUUAAUACCCGGGGCUAAUGACGGUACCGUAAGAAUAAGCACCGGCUAACUACGUGCCAGCAGCCGCCGUAAUAC
rnacentral:rRNA from 1 species